UCCUACGGGUGGCAGCAGUGGGGAAUCUUCCGCAAUGGACGAAAGUCUGACGGAGCAACGCCGCGUGAGUGAUGAAGGAUUUCGGUCUGUAAAGCUCUGUUGUUUAUGACGAACGUGCAGUGUGUGAACAAUGCAUUGCAAUGACGGUAGUAAACGAGGAAGCCACGGCUAACUACGUGCCAGCAGCCGCGGUAAUACGUAGGUGGCGAGCGUUGUCCGGAAUUAUUGGGCGUAAAGAGCAUGUAGGCGGCUUAAUAAGUCGAGCGUGAAAAUGCGGGGCUCAACCCCGUAUGGCGCUGGAAACUGUUAGGCUUGAGUGCAGGAGAGGAAAGGGGAAUUCCCAGUGUAGCGGUGAAAUGCGUAGAUAUUGGGAGGAACACCAGUGGCGAAGGCGCCUUUCUGGACUGUGUCUGACGCUGAGAUGCGAAAGCCAGGGUAGCGAACGGGAUUAGAUACCCGGGUAGUC
rnacentral:rRNA from 1 species